AUGUCCUGGUGCCCAGAACUGCCCCCAGCACUGGAGGUGAGGCUGCCUGAGCGCAGAGCAGAGCAGAAAAUCCCCUCCCUUGCCUGGCUGGUGAUGCUGGAGCUGAUGCACCCCAGGACAUGGGUGGCUCUCCUGGCUGCCAGGGCACUGCUGGCUCAUGCUCAAUGUGUCAUCAACCCCCAGGGCCCUUUCCUAUUUGCUUUUAAAUUUAACUCUGGAUAUUGUACAUGCUCUUUUUUUGGUAGCAACUGUUACAGAAGCUGUAACUGCACAUCUAACUACAAUAUAAAAAGAUUAAAAGAAUUGUUCACUAAAAAAAAAAAUCUCCCCUCACCCACAAGACACAUCACCUGCAGAGUUUAGGCAAGUUUCUGCUCCAGCCCUACACCAUGCUUUCCAUGGCUGCACCCCAAAAGGAGCACCUGCAGAACCACUGUGGAAGCAGGUCUAUAGAUGUGUCUGCAGGAGAUGCAGUUUAUUGGUUCAAAGACCAAUAUCUUAAUUCAUCUAGAAGCUAUCUCGUAGUUUGGAAAUGCAGUAUUCAAUAUAUUUCAGUAACAUUGUGUUGCUACCAGGCCCUCCAUACUUUAAUGAAAUAUAUUAGGUAAGAAUUUGCCAUCAACUAAAACCAAAAGUAAAGUUACAGCAAGAUUUCUGUUGAACAGUAUUAAGCACUUUGAGCUGCAGGAAACAAUUCAAUCUAAUCUUAAAGCAGUCCUUAGGUCACACCUGGGACUAUAGUUUUCUGCUAUAGGGAAACUUAUUACAGAAACUGCAUUUAGCCCCCCACCAAACAGGACCUUACCAGCAAUCAGUACUCUGCAGUGGCAUCAGAUCCCUAUCUUGGAUGCAAUGGAUUUGUUGUUAGAACUGCACCAUGAGUAUUAAGGAUGUACUUCAUAAUUGUAACCCUUCCCCUGGUGCUCUGUUGAACCCUGCCCCAGUGGCAGGAGCCAAUCCAGAUCAGCAUCUUUCCCUCCUCUCAUCCUGUUAUCAGGGGAAUCUCAUUUCUGUGCUUUCAAAAAGCAAAUCAGGCAAUGGAGGUGUAGUUUAAGAGCGACAGAGCUUCACACGUGUUGCUGAAGCAGUGACUCUCACUUGGAUUCUGCUCACAGAACAGCUGCCCUUGGGGGCCAGGUGAGGCCAGGUAAGAACGCUGUCACUGAGAGUGAAGCCCUUUUGUAAGCACAGGUAGGAGAAAGCGAGGCCAGGGGCUGUCGCCUCGGCACCGCCGGGGAGGGAAACCCUCCCACGUGUUCAGGCAACAACGAAGGCUCCGUGCCUCAUCUUCCUGACACUCCACGAGUUAGCAGGAAUCCGCUCAUCUGGUCUUCGCCUACCCACGGAUGAGCAGCUGGAAGAACAAGUAAUUACUGUAAUUUUUACAGUAUUUCUAGAUUUAAUUCUAAAUGGGCAAAUCAGCAAUUCUAGUCUGUCUAGUAAGUGCUUCCUGCUUCCAGGUGAUCAUGGAGUCCUCCAUGGUCACAGCCAAAACAAAAGUAAACAGACUCAUACUGUUAUAUUCCAGUGAAUUUCACAGGAACUUGGAUUCCUAAAUAUCCCUCUGGAUUUUUAAAACCUCAAAUAUAAUUUUUGAAGUGGGUUUGCUAUGCAUACAAAGAUAAGACCAGCUGGCAGAUCUUUUCAAACAAAAUAUUAGAUUGGAUUCUUGCCAUAGUCGUAAAAAUCAGGAAGAUUUCAAUCCAACCAAACAAACAAAAAAAUCCAACUAAAAAUGUAGGUUUUUUGAUGUGCUGUUCUUUGGAAUUCCUAUAAUUAAAAAAUAAACGCACUGUUAUUAUCUCA
rnacentral:lncRNA from 1 species